rnacentral:rRNA from 1 species
AUGUCACCGGACCGACAUCGGAGUCCAGAAUCUGACGGAAUUCGUUGCAUCCGGUCCUUCUCCGCUGUCUCCAACCACACACGCGUCGAUCUGGUUCCUCAGGAUGAUGAGGCUAUACCGGAUGGAGAAUUAAGCGAGGUCUCCGUUUCAACUUAUGUUAACUCGUUGAAGAAUGAGUUCGCAACACUUCGUUCCGCUGAGAUUAAGGAUAUGGUAGAGAAUAACAAGAUUAAGCUCAGCACCAUUAUGCAGAGCAAUCGCGGUUCUUCAACAAUCUGGCAAACGAGUGCAUUGGAUGGUACAGGUUUAGCCACGAAUCUGCUGACACCUAGGCAACACGAUGCGUCGUGCUCAACGCUUGGUCUUGAACUGUGCCUUGCUGAGAAAGAUGGUGGCAGUUCUCAAGAAGAUAGUCCGUAUGGCACAUCGACUGCUACUUUGGGUGGAAUUCUCACUGCAAAGAAUGCUAAUAAGCCAAUUGAACUACCAAAAGUGUCAGACCUUCCACCUUAUACAACAUGGGUGUUUUUGGACAGGAACCAGAGGAUGACGGAAGACCAAUCUGCAUUUCAUCGACAAAAUAUUUACUACAAUGCACAUUGUGGUGAAGCUUUAAUGUUCAGUGAUAGUGAAGAUGAAGUUGUUGAGGAUGAAGAGGAGAAAAGGGAAUUCAAAAGCUCUGAAGAUUGUUUUAUUCGGAUGACCAUUGACGAAUGUGGCAUGUCUGAUGAAGUGCUGGAGACCCUAGCUCAAUGUUUUGAGAAGACUGCUGGUGAUAUAAAGGCCAGAUAUGAGAUCUUACAAGGAGAGAAUACUGAAAGUUCUUCCAAAGAAGUGUCCAAACUUAAUGCCAAACUGAAAGAUAUCUACCACGAUAAAGAUUUGGCUGCAGCAUUGGAUUCCUUCGAUAAUCUCUUUUGUCGGCGAUGUCUAGUUUUUGAUUGCAAACUACACGGGUGUUCUCAAGAUUUAAUAUUUCCUGCAGAAAAGCAAUCACCUUGGAACAGCAUGGAUGAUGUACCAUGUGGUAUUCAUUGUUAUAAGCUGGCCACCAAACACAAAGAUUCAGUUGCAUACUCACAACAUAAUUCUCCAAGCACAAGAAGUUCUCGGAAGAAGGAUGCACAUCAAAUGGAGAAUAACUCAGCUUUAGUGGAAGAUCGUAAUUAUUUGAUGGUGGAAACAAAUAAUGAGCAUUCAGCAACAGAUGGUCAUGAUAGUUCUAGGAAGGAAGAAUUAGUCGAUAAGAAUAUAUGCAGGCAAGAAGACAAUCUUGUAUCCUGGAUGGUGAUUGAGAAAGAGCUUCUAGUUAAAGGUGUGGAGAUUUUUGGAAGGAACAGUUGUUUAAUUGCUCGGAACCUUUUUGAUGGAGAGAAAUCAUGCAGUGAUGUUUUUCAGUAUAUGAAUUAUAUUGAGAACAGCAGCACAUCUGAGGGACAUGGGUUGGGCCUGGGAUCACGGCGUCCUAGAAAGCGAGGAAGGGUCAAGCAUGCCUCAAGAUCUACAGUCUACCGUUUCAUAAGGAAAAGGAUUGCAGCAAUGAAGGGUGAGCUUCGUCAGCAUUACAAUCCAUGUGGUUGUCAAUCGGCAUGUGGGAAACAGUGUCCAUGUCUUAAAAAUGAUACAUGCUGUGAGAAAUUAUGUGGGUGUCCGAAAGCGUGCAAGAAUCGUUUUCGAGGCUGUAAUUGUGCAAAGGCUCAGUGUCGCAGCCGCCAGUGCCCAUGCUUUGCUGCUGACAGGGAAUGUGAUCCUGAUGUGUGCAGAAAGUGUGGGGUAGGUUGUGGUGACGGUUCAUUGGGUGUCCCCAACCAAAGAGGUGAUAAUUAUGGAUGUCAGAACAUGAAACUGCUUCUUAGACAACAACAAAAGGUCGUACUUGGGAGAUCUGAUGUUUCUGGCUGGGGAGCAUUCGUUAAGAAUACUGUUGGCAAGGAUGACUGUCUUGGGGAGUACACUGGGGAGCUUAUCUCUCAUAGGGAAGCAGCCAAGCGUGGACAGAGAUAUGACCGUGAGAAUUCAUCAUUCCUUUUCAACUUAAAUACUGAGUUUGUUCUCGAUGCCUUCAGGAUGGGCAACAAGCUGAAGUUUGCCAACCAUUCCCCUGAUCCGAAUUGCUAUGCCAAGGUUAUGUUUGUAGCAGGCGACCAUAGGGUGGGCAUAUUCGCCAAUGAGCGGAUUAAUGCAGGCAAGGAGAUUUUUUAUGAUUACCAUUACGCACCUAACGAAGCACCAGCGUGGGCUCUGAAGGCUGAUGAUGCCACUGGAGCGGAAGACCCCGGUCAAUCUUCCAGUGGAAGCGCAAAGAAGGUUGAUACUCCUGGAGCGAAAGACCCCGAGCAAUCUUCCAGCGGACGAGCAAAGAGGCCCCGGAAGUCUUCCAGAGGGCGACCGAGGAAGCAUGCCCGGUGA